ensembl:ncRNA F12F6.12 ncRNA
UUCUGCAGCCACGGCCACCCAUUUCAUAAAUCAUCCUCAAAAUUGAUCCGUCAAUUUCGUUGUCCCGUCUUCGUUGUCCCGUCCACUCUGGGUUUGCUCAUGGACUCAUCUUCAGAGGGAUCUGUCCAUCUAUCUAUC